rnacentral:rRNA from 1 species
GACGAACGCUGGCGGCGUGCUUAACACAUGCAAGUCGAACGGGUCUGCCCUGUUUUUUGCGGGGUGGGUCAGUGGCGAACGGGUGAGUAACACGUGAGUAACCUGCCCCUCACUUCUGGAUAACCGCUUGAAAGGGUGGCUAAUACGGGGUGUUCUGGCUGUGCCGCAUGGUGUGGCUGGGAAAGAUUCACUUUUGUGGUGUUUUGGUGGGGGAUAGGCUCGCGGCCUAUCAGCUUGUUGGUGGGGUGAUGGCCUGCCAAGGCUUUGACGGGUAGCCGGCCUGAGAGGGUGGGCGGUCACACUGGGACUGAGAGACGGCCCAGACUCCUGCGGGAGGCAGCAGUGGGGGGUAUUGCACAAUGGGCGGAAGCCUGAUGCAGCGACGUCGCGUGAGGGAUGGAGGCCUUCGGGUUGUGAACCUCUUUCGCCGGUGAAGAAGGUCCUGCUCUUUGUGGUGGGGUUGACGGUAGCCGGGUUAUGAAGCGCCGGCUAACUACGUG